CCUACGGGGGGCAGCAGUGAGGAAUAUUGGUCAAUGGCCGUAAGGCUGAACCAGCCAAGUCGCGUGAGGGAAGACGGAUCUAUGGUUUGUAAACUUCUUUUAUAGGGGAAUAAAGGUCUCCACGCGUGGCUAUUCGCGUGUACCCUAUGAAUAAGCAUCGGCUAACUCCGUGCCAGCAGCCGCGGUAAUACGGAGGAUGCGAGCGUUAUCCGGAUUUAUUGGGUUUAAAGGGUGCGUAGGUUGUUAUUUAAGUCAGCGGUGAAAUUUUAGGGCUCAACCAUAAUAUUGCCGUUGAAACUGGUAGACUUGAGUGUGUUUGAGGUAGGCGGAAUGCGUGGUGUAGCGGUGAAAUGCAUAGAUAUCACGCAGAACUCCGAUUGCGAAGGCAGCAUACUAAGCCAUAACUGACGCUGAAGCACGAAAGCGUGGGUAUCAAACAGGAUUAGAUACCCGAGUAGUC
rnacentral:rRNA from 1 species